rnacentral:rRNA from 1 species
UCCACGCGUUAAUCGGAAAUACAGGCCGUAAAGCGUGCCCAGGCGGUUGAGCAAGACCGAUGUGAAUUCCCCCGGCUUAACCUGGGAAUUGCAUUGGUGACUGCACGGCUAGAGGGUGUCAGAGGGAGGUAGGAUUCCUCGUAUCGCAGUGAAAUGCGUAGAGAUGUGGAGGAAUACCGAUGGGGAAGGCAGCCUCCUGGGAUAACACUGUCGCUCAUGCACGAAACCGUGGAAAGCAAACAGGAUUAGAUACCCUGGUAGUCCACGCCCUAAACGAUGUACACUAGGUGAAGGGGAUCCAUUUCCUUAGUAACGAAGCUAACGCGUGAAGUUGACCGCCUGGGGAGUACGGUCGCAAGAUUAAAACUAAAAGGAAUUGAUGGGGACCCGCAGAAGCGCUGGAUGAUGUGGAUUAAUUCGAUGCAACCGGAAAAACCUUACCUACCCUUGACAUGGGACUAACGAAGCAGAGAUGCAUUAGGUGGUCGAAAGAGAAAGUGGACUCACGUGCUGCUUGGCUGUCGUCAGCUCGUGUCGUGUGAUGUUGGGUUAAGUCCCCCAACGAGAGCAAGGCUUGUCUCUAGUUGCUACGAAAGGCGACUCUAGAGAGACUGCCGGUGACAAACCGGAGGAAGGAGGGGAUGACGUCAAGUGGUGAUGGCCCUUAUGGGUAGGGCUUCCCACGUCAUACAAUGGUGCAUACAGAGGGUUGCCAAGCCGCGAGGUGGAGCUAAUCCCAGAAAAUGCAUAGUAGUCCGGAUCGUCGUCUGCAACUCGACUACAUCAAGCUCCAAUCGCUAGU